AUCAUGACUCACUGCAGCAUUUACCUCCUUGGCUCAAGCUAUCUUCCCACAGUAACCUCGGAAGGAACUGGGAUUACAGAGAGGAGGUGGUGUAAUACGGCCAAAUAGAAGCCUUCGCUGAUUGUACUCCCCACUGCAACAUCAAAUUUAACAACUAUGUACAGAAAAAAAAAUCACCUUCAAAAGAAUAAAAAAUCAGGUGAGCAAUUAUAGUAACUGAUUUUAAUUUUAUAUUGAUGAAAGAGGCAUUGAAGAGUGAUGAAAGACAGUCUUGAGUGGCCAACACCACUCCUCCCCCGCCCUCCAGCAGUGGCCAUGUGGUGUAGAGAAUCUGCAUUUGGUGGUGGGGGACUGCAGUAAUGCAGUAAUUGUGGGAACUAUGCACUGGAACAUAGUUCUGCCCUGUCACAGCAGAAAGUAUCAUCAGGCAGAACUCAUCCAGCGUCCAGGGAGGGAGCAUUUAGAUGAGCCCUAACCAGAGGGGAAUUGCACAUCUCAGUGGAUAAAACUUGAGUUUCUGCAAGCCUUGCCAUUGUAGGCUAUAGUACUCUGGGAUCCUAAAUAAACUUGAAAGGCAGUCUAGGCCACAAUGACUGUAACUCUUAGGCAAGUCUAGUGAUGUGCUGGGUUCAAAGCUAGUGGACUCCGGGGGCAUGCAAACUAGUGAAACACCAGCCAGGGCAGCUAAGGGAGUGCCUGCACCCUUUUUCCAACCCCAUGCAGUGCAGGUCACAGCUCUGAAUGAGAGUCCUUUGUUCUGCUUGACAAGAGGAGAUGGAAGAGUAAAGAGAACUUUGUCUUGCAACUUGGGUACUAGCUCAGCCACAGUAGGAUAGGGCACUGGGACGACUUGUGAGGCCCGCAUUGCAG
rnacentral:lncRNA from 1 species